rnacentral:misc_RNA from 1 species
AGGGUUUUUUAUUGGAAAUGUCUUCGAAAGGAGGUCGUCGCUCACGUGGAGCCGGACGAAAGCGUUAUUCUGGUGACGCUUUCGUAGAUGAACUUCGUCAGGAGGUUAAUAGCUCACUGGCGGCGGAAAAGGACGUCUCGGAAGCCUUCCGACAACUCUGCUCCGUGCAGAUUUCUCUGGACUCGAUUAGAAGUCUUCCAGCGAAAGUGUUGUCAGUAUAUCUGCAUGCCAAGUUCGACGAACGUGUGCGUGACUUCGUCACCUCGUCAUUGGCAGAGCUUGAUAUUCUUCCAAAUUCGAUGCGAAACAUAUCAGUGGCGAAUUUAACUGGACUUUCUGAGUAUGAGGCUUCUCUUCUUUACGAAGCUUGCUCGGUUGUCUCUAAGGCGAGCCCUCCAUAUUCACGAAGUCUCCAAAACGUUGAUAUAUCCUCACGUGGUUUCCCUGUUCUGUUAACUCCGCCGAUUGGUGUUUGUAUCGUUUGCAGCGACACGCUGAGCGAACACAACAAGACUUGUGAUGUUACAAUCUACGGUCUCCUUGGUAAGGUGGCGGGCCUGAAAUUUAGUUUGCGCUGCGACCGUUGCAAAUUAAAUUAUAAUUACGAUCGUUACGGGAACAGAGCGAGGGGUUGGUGUCUGUACGAAGGCCAGCGACCUUUGGUGGAGGCCAGCGAUGUCUGCUUUGUCGACCGAAAGUUGCUGGAAUUUCAGUGCGCUCUAGCAAACCACAGCUGGGUUAGUUUUUCUGGCUUUUCAACAGCCUACAAUGAGGUGUUUCAGCUGCUAUCAAAAGGAGGAGAAUAUGGAGAAAAGCAGUGUGCAUCGGCAUUUUGGAAUGGGGAACUGGAAUUAGAACUAAGAGAACUUGGAAGCCUUGACUUCUUUGGGAUGAUGAAAAAGAAUGAGGACAGAGAGAAAGUGAUGGAGGAAGUUGACAAGAUAAGGGCCAAGGGUGUGUAUAGUCAUUCAUCUGAUGACUGUUCAGAUGCUUGUAAGGCAAGAGAACUUCAUCCGUGGGCUUCCUCUCUUGAACUACCCGAAUGUAUGUACAAAUUCACCACAAUUUGGCAAGGCAUUUUGAACAGAGCAUGUGAACUACCUUAAUGAGAAGCACCCUGAAGUUCCAACUGAUAUCCAUGGGUUCCUGAAACACUGUGGUAUCAAGCAUGACAAUUCAGGUGACGAUAAAGCUUUAGAUUACCUGGACAAGGAUGUUGCAAAAGUUGAGGAGGUGGUAUCACUGCUGGGAAAUGAAGCAGAUUCCCACAUUGGAAACAGUACACUUGAGGCGCAAGGUGAAUUGCAAUAUUUGACAGUUUAUCCUAGGUGCAUAUAUACAAUACCAAACUAUAAUUUCAAGAUAGUGCAAUCAUAUAAUAAUUAUUAGGUAUACAUUGUUCUCGUCAGUAAGACGGUACAGGUCCUGUGAAAAAUCUUUUCUGAAUUUCCCUUGGGUGUGUUUUGAGAGGAACUCUACAAAAAACGAGCUAGACCCUAUUGACCAGCCAUUAUGUCGGUUUUCUUGCCUAAGAUAUCUCUCCUGUUUAUUCCUCUCUGAAAUUACAUACAGUUAAACCCCUAUUAAGAGGCCAGCCUUGGGGUAAUGGGAGCUGGCCCUUACUAGGGAUUAAUUGUCCGCUUAAUAGAGAUUGAUGAACCAUGAAUAUUUUUCACUGUUGGCUAAUUUCUCAGUGAACCUGACUUAAUUCAA